rnacentral:lncRNA from 1 species
GCGACUUAAAUACUCAGAGGUGAGCUAAAGCUUAGUAGCUUGGAAGUUCUGGAUCUCUCCACGAACUCUCUAUAUGCCAUAUUGUGCUAAGGUCAUCGGCUGGGUUCUCUCUCAUGUAAAAUGUUUAGUCAUAGAGUUUAUAACGUUCUAGGUUUGUGAUCUAACGUUGCAUGAUUGAAGAUAAACAAUUAAAACUACAUUUUUAAUUCCGCUCCUAAUUUCUUUGAGGUAAAUCUAUCUGUUUCUUGACAUUAAAAAAAAAUCCAUCACCAUCCUUAUUCACCUCACUC